rnacentral:rRNA from 1 species
AAACCAACAGGGAUUGCCUCAGUAGCGGCGAGUGAAGCGGCAAGAGCUCAGAUUUGAAAUCUCACCCCUUGUGGGUGCGAGUUGUAAAUUGCAGGUUGGAGUCUCGGUUUAGACGUGUGUGCAAGUCCCUUGGAACAGGGCGCCACUGAGGGUGAGAGCCCCGUAGUGUGCACGAUCGACGCUGUGAGGCCCUUCUGACGAGUCGAGUUGUUUGGGAAUGCAGCUCUAAGUGGGUGGUAAAUUCCAUCUAAGGCUAAAUAUUGGCGAGAGACCGAUAGCGAACAAGUACUGUGAAGGAAAGAUGAAAAGCACUUUGAAAAGAGAGUGAAACAGCACGUGAAAUUGUUGAAAGGGAAGGGUAUUGGGCUCGACAUGGGAUUUACGCAUCGUUGCCUCUCGUGGGCGGCGCUCUGGGUUUUUCCUGGGCCAGCAUCGGUUUCUGUUGCAGGAUAAGGACCUUUGGAAUGUGGCUCCUCGGAGUGUUAUAGCCAUUGGUAGAUGCUGCAUAUGGGGACCGAGGGCUGCGGCGGACUCGUUUUCGUCUCGGAUGCUGGCACAACGGCGCAAUACCGC